UCCUACGGGAGGCAGCAGUGGGGAAUUUUGGACAAUGGGCGCAAGCCUGAUCCAGCCAUACCGCGUGAGUGAAGAAGGCCUUCGGGUUGUAAAGCUCUUUCAGCCGGAAAGAAAUCGUGCAGGUUAAUAACCUGUAUGGAUGACGGUACCGGAAGAAGAAGCACCGGCUAACUACGUGCCAGCAGCCGCGGUAAUACGUAGGGUGCGAGCGUUAAUCGGAAUUACUGGGCGUAAAGCGUGCGCAGGCGGUUUUGUAAGACAGACGUGAAAUCCCCGGGCUUAACCUGGGAACUGCGUUUGUGACUGCAAGGCUAGAGUGUAGCAGAGGGGGGUAGAAUUCCACGUGUAGCAGUGAAAUGCGUAGAUAUGUGGAGGAAUACCGAUGGCGAAGGCAGCCCCCUGGGCUAACACUGACGCUCAUGCACGAAAGCGUGGGGAGCAAACAGGAUUAGAUACCCUGGUAGU
rnacentral:rRNA from 1 species